GCACUUUAAUGAUGAAACAUUUUUUUACCAGUUAUCCCUGUCAGAAGAGUAAUGGUGAUCAAGUUUUUCUGAAAAGCGU
rnacentral:snoRNA from 1 species